CAUCAUCAUUUAUUUCAAAUGAAAACAGAAGAGAUAUUGAUUUCAGCUCAGUGUAUAAUAUUGUACAAUGGCACUGCAUCAAAGGACAAGUGUACAAAAACAACCAAAUUAAAACAGCAAUACAAUGAGGCAAGGAAACAAAUAGUUUCUGUAGAAGCCUGUCCAUUGAGGAACCAUGCUGUUCGUCUGUAUGUGAGAAGUGAGAGAGAAAGGAACAUGGAAAGAGGAGUUUGCUAGGUGUUUGGGUAAGGGUGCUGCUAGGUGUUGGGUGUUUGGGUAAGGGUGCUGCUAGGUGUUUGGUGUUUGGUUAAGGGUAUUGCUAGGUGUUUGGGUAAGGGUGUUGCUAGGUGUUUGGGUAAGGGUGUUGCUAGGUGUUUGGGUAAGGGUGUUGCUAGGUGUUUGGGUAAGGGUGUUGCUAGGUGUUUGGGUAAGGGUGUUGCUAGGUGUUUGGGUAAGGGUAUUGCUAGGUGUUUGGCUAAGGGUGUUGCUAGGUGUUUGGGUAAGGGUGUUGCUAGGUGUUUGGGUAAGGGUGCUGCUAGGUGUUGGGUGUUUGAUUAAGGGUAUUGCUAGGUGUUUGGCUAAGGGUGUUGCUAGGUGUUUGGUUAAGGGUGUUGCUAGGUGUUUGGGUAAGGGUGUUGCUAGGUGUUUGGGUAAGGGUGUUGCUAGGUGUUUGGGUAAGGGUGUUGCUAGGUGUUUGGGUAAGGGUGUUGCUAGGUGUUUGGGUAAGGGUGUUGCUAGGUGUUUGGGUAAGGGUGUUGCUAGGUGUUUGGGUAAGGGUGUUGCUAGGUGUUUGGCUAAGGGUGCUGCUAGGUGUUUGGGUGUUUGAUUAAGGGUAUUGCUAGGUGUUUGGGUAAGGGUGCUGCUAGGUGUUGGGUGUUUGGUUAAGGGUAUUGCUAGGUGUUUGAUUAAGGGUAUUGCUAGGUGUUUGGGUAAGGGUGCUGCUAGGUGUUGGGUGUUUGAUUAAGGGUAUUGCUAGGUGUUUGGCUAAGGGUGCUGCUAGGUGUUGGGUGUUUGGUUAAGGGUAUUGCUCGGUGUUUGGGUAAGGGUGCUGCUAGGUGUUGGGUGUUUGAUUAAGGGUAUUGCUAGGUGUUUGGCUAAGGGUGCUGCUAGGUGUUGGGUGUUUGGUUAAGGGUAUUGCUCAGUGUUUGGGUAAGGGUGUUGCUAGGUGUUGGGUGUUUGAUUAAGGGUAUUGCUAGGUGUUUGGGUAAGGGUGCUGCUAGGUGUUGGGUGUUUGAUUAAGGGUAUUGCUAGGUGUUUGGCUAAGGGUGUUGCUAGGUGUUUGGUUAAGGGUGUUGCUAGGUGUUUGGGUAAGGGUGUUGCUAGGUGUUUGGUGUUUGGUUAAGGGUAUUGCUAGGUGUUUGGCUAAGGGUGCUGCUAGGUGUUGGGUGUUUGAUUAAGGGUAUUGCUAGGUGUUUGGGUAAGGGUGUUGCUAGGUGUAUGGGUAAGUGUGUUGCUAGGUGUUUGGGUAAGGGUGUUGCUAGGUGUUUGGGUAAGGGUGUUGCUAGGUGUUUGGUUAAGGGUGUUGCUAGGUGUAUGGGUAAGGGUGUUGCUAGGUGUUUGGUGUUUGGGUAAGGGUGUUGUUUUGGUGUUUGGGUAAGGGUGUUGUUUGGUGUUUGGGUAAGGGUGUUGCUAGGUGUUUGAUUAAGGGUGUUGCUAGGUGUUUGGUGUUUGGGAAAGGGUGUUGCUAGGUGUUUGGUGUUUGGGUAAGGGUGUUGCUAGGUGUUUGAUUAAGGGUGUUGUUUGGUUAAAGGUGUUGCUAAGUGUUUGGUGUUUGGGUAAGGGUGUUGCUAGUUGUUUGGGUAAGGGUGUUGCUAGGUGUAUGGGUAAGGGUGUUGCUAGGUGUUUGGUGUUUGGGUAAGGGUGAUGCUAGGUGUUUGGGUAAGGGUGUUGCUAGGUGUUUGGGUAAGGGUGUUGCUAGGUGUAUGGGUAAGGGUGUUGCUAGGUGUUUGGUGUUUGGGUAAGGGUGAUGCUAGGUGUUUGGGUAAGGGUGUUGCUAGGUGUUUGGGUAAGGGUGUUGCUAGGUGUUUGGGUAAGGGUGUUGCUAGGUGUUUGGGUAAGGGUGUUGCUAGGUGUUUGGGUAAGGGUGUUGCUAGGUGUUUGGCUAAGGGUGCUGCUAGGUGUUUGGGUGUUUGAUUAAGGGUAUUGCUAGGUGUUUGGGUAAGGGUGCUGCUAGGUGUUGGGUGUUUGGUUAAGGGUAUUGCUAGGUGUUUGAUUAAGGGUAUUGCUAGGUGUUUGGGUAAGGGUGCUGCUAGGUGUUGGGUGUUUGAUUAAGGGUAUUGCUAGGUGUUUGGCUAAGGGUGCUGCUAGGUGUUGGGUGUUUGGUUAAGGGUAUUGCUCGGUGUUUGGGUAAGGGUGUUGCUAGGUGUUGGGUGUUUGAUUAAGGGUAUUGCUAGGUGUUUGGCUAAGGGUGCUGCUAGGUGUUGGGUGUUUGAUUAAGGGUAUUGCUAG